UGGGGGGGGGGGGGGAGGGAUGGUGGGCGGUGCCCUGAGGGUGACAGAAAGGUGGGAAACUGCCCAAGUCUGAGUUCUAGAGCCUCAGUUUCCAUGUUCUGCCAAUUCCUGGAUAUCUGAGUUAGGCCUCUUUGGGCCACAAGUAAUAGAAAUGGGGAACUUGAGACCAGGGGUUCGAGGGUAGCGCGGGAAGAGCCUCCCAAAGACUGAAGCAGGCACCAUAGAACCGACUUGGGGGUGGUCUGCUCCCCUCGCCUGCUCCCUGCACAUCUGCUACAUUUCUUCCUCACGUGGUAUAGGCUCUGGUUUCUAAAUUUUCUUCUCUUUCGUUCAGCAGAUGCCGACUGGGGUCUGGCAAUUGCCAAAGAGGAAGCAUUUGGGGAGCUCAAAUUAGGUCAAGUGUCCAGCCCAAGGCCAGCUCACUCUGGCUUGGUUUGGGAGGGGGAGGGAGGGGAUGGGGGAGCAGGGGAGGGGACCUAGGGCUCCAACAUGACCGCCAACCUCCUCUCCUGUUCCUCUUCCUUCCCGCAGGGGAGCCAGCCUGUGGAGAGGAAGGGAAUUCCCCCCAGAAGAGCCGCGUCCGAUGGCAGAUCCUGCAAAAAGUAGUCCUGUGGCUUCCACAGUUACUCUAGGACCAGAAUCAGCUGCCUGAUACCUUGAACCCUGGACCAGAGCUGCCUGAACGUGACAUUCAAAUCAGGAAUAGCAUUGUUUGGAAGCACCCCAAAUGUUCUGCAGUAGAUGACUGCCGUGUAGCCCCAAGUUUCUGCUUUCAUCAGCAAUGGCGGUCUCCCUGUGUGUCUGUCUUCACGCAGCGGUCUUCUUAGAAGCACACGAGUCCGAUGGAUCGGGACCCACCUACUCCAGUAGGACCUCAUCUUAACUAACUACACCUGCAGUGACUCUGUUUCCCACAUAAGAUCACAUUCUGAGAAGGAAGGAAGGGAGCUGGUGGGUGGGCUGUGAGCUGUCCCAUGGAGAGACCCCGUAUGGCAAGGAAGAGAGGGUGGCCCCUGGCCAAUAGCCCACAAAGAAUGGAAAUCUACCAGCCACCACUUCAGUGAUUUUGGAAGCUGAUCUACCUUCAGCUGAGCCUUGAGGUGACUGCAACCUUGUGAGAAACCCAGAGCCAGAGGACCCAGUUAAGAUGUUCCUUGGAUUCCUGACCCACAGAAACUUCAUGAUAAUAAAUGUUGUUUUAAGCCACUAUUUGUGGGACAAUUUGUUAUGCAGCUGUGGAUGACCAAUAUACAAUCCCAACCCUGGCCACCUGUCUUGAUCUAAGAAAUAGUGCCAAGUUGAAAACUGAAUGGUCUAGUUGCCAUUUGGAAGUGACCUGCUCUGUAGAGAGAGAACUCUAAAAGAAUUUAAAAUGCAAUAAUGCAAUCAUUA